UUGGAGGGCAAGUCUGGUGCCAGCAGCCGCGGUAAUUCCAGCUCCAAUAGCGUAUAUUAAAGUUGUUGCAGUUAAAAAGCUCGUAGUUGAAUUUCGGGAUCAAUUUGCUGGUCGUGCCUUCGGUACGCACUGGUAUUAUUGGUUUCUCCUUUCUGAUGAAUCGCGAUGUCAUUAAUUUGGUGUCGUGGGGAAUCAGGACUGUUACUUUGAAAAAAUUAGAGUGUUUAAAGCAGGCUCACGCUUGAAUACAUUAGCAUGGAAUAAUGAAAUAGGACGUUUGAUUCUAUUUUGUUGGUUUCUAGGAUCGACGUAAUGAUUAAUAGGGAUAGUUGGGGGCAUUAGUAUUCAAUUGUCAGAGGUGAAAUUCUUGGAUUUAUUGAAGACUAACUACUGCGAAAGCAUUUGCCAAGGAUGUUUUCAUUAAUCAAGAACGAAAGUUAGGGGAUCGAAGACGAUCAGAUACCGUCGUAGUCUUAACCAUAAACUAUGCCGACUAGGGAUCGGAUGAUGUUAAUUUUUUAAUGACUCAUUCGGCGCCUUACGGGAAAC
rnacentral:rRNA from 1 species